rnacentral:rRNA from 1 species
GACUACCUGCCUCGAGCAUUGACUAAGUUGAUCAUGCUCAGCNUGACGCUACGGCGUGCCUAAUACAUGCAAGUCGAGCGAUGAUUAGAGCUUGCUCUUAUGAAGUUAGCGGCGGACGGGUGAGUAACACGUGGGUAACCUGCCCAUAAGACUGGGAUAACUCCGGGAAACCGGGGCUAAUACCGGAUAAUAUUUUGAACUGCAUGGUUCAAAAUUGAAAGGCGGCUUCGGCUGUCACUUAUGGAUGGACCCGCGUCGCAUUAGCUAGUUGGUGAGGUAACGGCUCA